ensembl:snoRNA
UGGAGGACUGAGAAGGUUGAGCAGCUUGUGCUGUGCUGUUAUAACUGGUUAUAACCUCCGAGAGCAAUAAACAAAACACAGAUUUAUGUGGCUCUGUCAGGAGCAGAGCUGAUGUGUGUUUUGUUAACAAAAA